rnacentral:rRNA from 1 species
GAUGAACGCUGGCGGCGUGCCUAAUACAUGCAAGUCGAGCGAACAGAUAAGGAGCUUGCUCCUUUGACGUUAGCGGCGGACGGGUGAGUUACACGUGGAUAACCUACCUAUAAGACUGGGAUAACUUCGGGAAACCGGAGCUAAUACCGGAUAACAUAUUGAACCGCAUGGUUCAAUAGUGAAAGGCGGCUUUGCUGUCACUUAUAGAUGGAUCCGCGCCGUAUUAGCUAGUUGGUAAGGUAACGGCUUACCAAGGCAACGAUACGUAGCCGACCUGAGAGGGUGAUCGGCCACACUGGAACUGAGACACGGUCCAGACUCCUACGGGAGGCAGCAGUAGGGAAUCUUCCGCAAUGGGCGAAGGCCUGACGGAGCAACGCCGCGUGAGUGAUGAAGGUCUUCGGAUCGUAAAACUCUGUUAUCAGGGAAGAACAAAUGUGUAAGUAACUGUGCACAUCUUGACGGUACCUGAUCAGAAAGCCACGGCUAACUACGUG